UACGUAGGGGGCUAGCGUUGUCCGGAAUCAUUGGGCGUAAAGAGCGCGUAGGCGGCCAGAUAAGUCCGGUGUGAAAGUCAAGGCUCAACCUUUGAAUGCCGCUGGAAACUGUCUGGCUAGAGUCCGGGAGGGGCGAGUGGAAUUCCUGGUGUAGCGGUGAAAUGCGCAGAUAUCUGGAGGAACACCGGUGGCGAAGGCGGCAUCCUGGACCGACAUUGACGCUGAGGAGCGGAAAGCCAGGGGAGCAAAGCGGG
rnacentral:rRNA from 1 species